rnacentral:misc_RNA from 1 species
UCGAGUCCCUGAUCGGAAGACCGCGAACUUGUAAACGGAUGGCUCGGGGUGAUUGGGCCGGUCCCGACCACCCCGGGGCCUUUGCCCCCCCGUUCGGGGUGUCCCCUUGGACGGGGUCGGCAGGGGAACGACAAAACCCCGGCGCGGCCAGCGCCAAGGAUCAUGCUGUUAGAGUGGAGUGUGCCGCGGCCCUUGAGGUGCGGCGGCGCUCCCUGAAAGAUCAUUAAGACUCUCGGCAACGGAUAUCUCGGCUCUUACAUCGAUGAAGAACGUAGCGAAGUGCGAUACUUGGUGUGAAUUGCAGAAUCCCGUGAACCAUCGAGUCUUUGAACGCAAGUUGCGCCCGAGGCCCUUGGGCCGAGGGCACGCCUGCCUGGGCGUCACGCCUCGCAUCGGAUUGCACCCACUGCCCCCCUGGGGUUUCGGUGUCCCUCCGGAGAUUGGCCCUCCGUGCACACGGGUGCGGUGGGCUUAAGUGAGGGCUGCCGGACGGGUAGGCACGACAAGUGGUGGUCUUUGCGCCAGCAGGAUAAUGCCGUGCCCCCGUCCGCCGAAGAGCCAGAGCCACCCGCAUUGGGCGUGCAGACGCGCUCCUGCAUGGGAGUGCUGCGCCGCCUCGCAAC